AACGCAAAUUGCACUCUCUUCGGAGAGUAUGCCUGUUUGAGGGUCAGUAUUAAUAAAAAUCGGCGUGUUGCUCUUUUGUGACGUUCCGGAGUUUGGGUCAUCUUAUAACAACACCUUUUCAGGGUAUUUUUAAGAGGCUUAAAAUUGACCUUUUUUGUGCAUUUUAGACGUACAUAAACUUUUUUUUAUUCGUUUAUCUUAAUGCCAAAAUCCAUUAGAUGCGACCAUAUCGUGUGGUUCCGUGUCUAUAAAUUUUUCAUGAUUUGACCUCAAAUCAGGUAAGAACACCCGCUGAACUUAA
rnacentral:misc_RNA from 1 species